UGGAAAGGCCUGAGUCCCCAGCAUCACCUGGU
rnacentral:piRNA from 1 species